rnacentral:lncRNA from 1 species
AAAGUGAAUCUGAUGCUUACAUGCAGCCUCAAUUUUAGAGCAGGUUGGAGUAGUACAUUUGGCCAGUCAUUUGAAGCCGAUUCAGUUUGUUGGAAGAGAUUUUGUUCCGAAAUAUAGCUGACCUAACACGAGUAGUGGCAGCAUUCUACAGCUUCCUCCCAGAGAGCAUUAAUGGGGCUACUCACCCAAAAGGGACUGGUACUCCACCAACAGUUCUUUGCAUCUUCAGCGGGACAAAUAACAGUGAAGAGGCACUAGUGCAGUGAUCAUGAGGUCCCAUUCAGUGUCCGAAAUUGUUGUAUGAGAGCUUUACCAACCAUCAAACUCCUGCUUGGCCAUUUGUAUUUCCCCAAGGUCCCUACCAGGACCCAGGCAACAGUUGCAUGUGGUAUCUGGCCACAGUGCGUGAAUAG